GUGCCAGCCGCCGCGGUAAUACCAGCUCUCCGAGUGGUGUGGAUGUUUAUUGGGCCUAAAGCAUCCGUAGCUGGCUAAGUUAGUCCCUUGUUAAAUCCACCGAAUUAAUCGUUGGAUUGCGGGGGAUACUGCUUGGCUAGGGGACGAGAGAGGCAGACGGUAUUUUUGGGGUAGGGGUGAAAUCCUAUAAUCCCAGGAAGACCACCAGUGGCGAAGGCUGUCUGCUAGAACGCGCCCGACGGUGAGGGAUGAAAGCUGGGGGAGCGAACCGGAUUAGAAACCCCGGUAGUCC
rnacentral:rRNA from 1 species